AUUCCAUGAUGGGGAUAGGCCAAGAUGUAUUCCUGCAGCCUUUCCCAAGCUUCCGAGAUGGAUUCCAUCUCUAUCUGCUGAAAACUUGAUAUCAUCCCGCGCAGGGC